GGUUUGGUUAUUGUUUCCAGGUGCAGAGAGAACAGGGGUGAUGGCCGCUGCCCCAGUGCCCAUUAGCGGGGCUGUUUUAAGGGGAGAUGGAGCUGUCCUCACUCAGCACCCAGCACAGUGAAUGGUGUGAAUCAUCUGGGAGGCACACACAAAGUGUACUACUGGCAGCAGAACAUGAGGCCAUACAGAAACCUAGCAGGGUGCGGAGGCAAGACACCUUAAAGUGAACACUUGGAAAUACUCUUCCCAAACUGCAGAGCAGCCGUUCUGCACCCAGACGAAAGUGGGUGACCGUGUGCUCACUCCUGCAAUGUGGGAACCUGAGAGCAGAGCAGCCAGGGGUGCUGGAAGCCCCAAGGAACCAUUUCACAUCACGGCCACCUCCUGGCAGCCUGGACUGGAUGCCCAGACUACGCAGAGGCAACUCACCCAGUAACUGAAGUCUACUCCCAGCCACCCAACAGCCUCUUAA